rnacentral:rRNA from 1 species
GUGUAUGGCCAUGUCACCCUGAACAAGCCCGAUCCCGUCUGAUCUUGGAAGCUAAGCAGGGUCGGGCCUGGUUAGUACUUGGAUGGGAUACUACUUAGGAAGACCAGGUGAUGUAGGAG